AGUGAACGCUGGCGGUAGGCCUAACACAUGCAAGUCGAACGGCAGCACAGUAAGAGCUUGCUCUUACGGGUGGCGAGUGGCGGACGGGUGAGGAAUACAUCGGAAUCUACUUUUUCGUGGGGGAUAACGUAGGGAAAUUUACGCUAAUACCGCAUACGACCUACGGGUGAAAGCAGGGGAUCUUCGGACCUUGUGCGAUUGAAUGAGCCGAUGUCGGAUUAGCUAGUUGGCGGGGUAAAGGCCCACCAAGGCGACGAUCCGUAGCUGGUCUGAGAGGAUGAUCAGCCACACUGGAACUGAGACACGGUCCAGACUCCUACGGGAGGCAGCAGUGGGGAAUAUUGGACAAUGGGCGCAAGCCUGAUCCAGCCAUACCGCGUGGGUGAAGAAGGCCUUCGGGUUGUAAAGCCCUUUUGUUGGGAAAGAAAAGCAGCAGGUUAAUACCCCGCUGUUCUGACGGUACCCAAAGAAUAAGCACCGGCUAACUUCGUG
rnacentral:rRNA from 1 species